AAUCGGCUUCCUCCCUUCUCAUGUUCACGCGAGGGACAGCCGCCGCCGCCCCUUCCCCUUCCAAACUUGCGCUCGCCGGCCAUCCUCCCCGUCCGCCGCCGCCGCCGCCACCGACCAGCCGCACCCGCGCUACCAUCCCCUCCCCGUUCCUCUCCGAGAAGCAGCCCAAGGGCAGCCGCCUGCCGCUCGGCACAAACGCGGAUGCGGUGGCCGAAGGGGGAAGCGGCGCUGCUUUGGCGCCGCUAAGCGCCACCACCCCCCGUCCCUUCGUCCCCCGCCGCCCCUCUGCCUCCUCCCUUCCCGCCACACACCCUCCCUUCCCCUGCGCCGUUGCGCUGCUGCUCCACUGGGUACGAGUUCCAUGGCUGUCCGGGAUCCAUGGCCUCCGACUUGGCGUCGUAGCCGUCAGCCUCGGCGUUGAGACAGUGCCAAGGAAUUUCACACGGGGAAGUGGCUCACCGAUGCGCGUCUCGUGGCCCCGCUGGAUCCGGUGCUCAACACCUCCAUCUCGUGCGUCACGAAGUCGCCGCCGGGGACGCUGCGCUGGUCGGUCGGAGGCCGAGCUAGCCUCGUCCUCUAAGUUACCCUCCGGCAUCAUCAAGCCAAGAAGCAGAGAGGGAGAUUGAACGAUGAGGAAGCAGAGAGGGAGAUUGAACGAUGAGGAAGCAGAGAGGGAGAUUGUGGGACGAAGAGAGGGAUGCGGGAGGCAGCAGUCCAUUCCUGCGGUCGACCUCAUUCUUGAUUGGAUUAGUAAACAAAGAGGGAGGAGGGGUCGGGGGAUGGAGGGAUGGAGAAGCUCUCAUCGGCAGCGACUUUCGUGGAGGGCGGUGUGUACGCCUGCGACCACACCUGCAGCAUCUGCCUCAAGGCCUUCUGCGACAGUGACUCCUCCACAGUAGCUACCUCUGUCUUGCAGAUGUUACAGGCUGCAAGCAUGAUUUGCAUCUCCAGUGCAUCCUUGAGUGGUGCCAGAGAAGCUCCCAGUGUCCCAUGUGUUGGCAGGCAAUCAACACGAAGGGCCCUAUGAGUGCUUUGGAGAAGAUGGACAUGAGGCCCCAACCUACACUGGCAUAGCUAGGCAGGGGAGUAUCCUUCCACUUGACAUUUCCUUCUCAGUUUUGUAUGGUUAAUUUUUAGAGCCGUGGUUACUAUGAAAACCGAGAUGUGGAUAUUGCAGUAUUGAUCUUAGUUCAAUUCAUUCUAUUACGUAGCCUCACUUUGUUAUCCAUGAUUUCCCUCAUUUGAUUGAUUUGACACAUGUUCAUUCACUAGAUUAUAGUCUACUUCAUUUUUUGUGUCUUUAGUUCUAGGUUGUUUUGAUUUAAGUGGUACUUGAUUUCUUGGCAUUGUUCAUUGUCUCGAGCCAUGUCUGAAACUGAAGGAAAGAAGGCCCUGACCACUCUCAUCAUUUACUCAAGUAAUAACACCAUCGGCGACAGGAACGACAAGCUGACGCAGAUCGUUUCUUGGUGGCUGCUAAUGAAUCAUGUAAUGAUUGCGCAGAACUCACCAGAGGAAAAAGACCGAACUGCGGAGUUUCCCCAUUGUUAGAGCUCUUGGUGCCCGGACAAGACCUCUAUCUCGAUUCUCCCUUUGCAGCUCGGCUCCACCGACCAGAUGGUGAUGGCUGACGAAGAGCUCGAUGUCCAUGGCUCGUCAGGUUCCGCUGGCUCCACUAACAGCCGUCUACGGGCGCUUGCACAGGAUACCAAGCGAGUGUUUAGGAUCCCACACAGGGCAUUUCUUGACAUGCUCCUAGCACACCUUGGGCUAAUCACCGGCUCAGUAUGAUCGUGUUGUACAUGAGGACGGCAAGAUCUGUGUGACCAUCUUUUUCAACACCUCUACAUUGGAUCUUGGAGGACCAAUCAGUAUGAACGCGUCGUGUCAUCAUUCCUCCUGGUCUACAUUAUGCCCAAGACAUGCAAAGUUGUGGAUCGUCUGUAAGCUACCAUUUGCUUUCGUACGUCCUAUGUCUGUGAUAUUUGCUACUAAACCUAUUGUGCUACGUGCUUUCUAUGUUCGUACAUUGUUAGGUGGCUCCUUAUUGUGUGCAUACAAAUAAACCUUACUUCUGAAUGAUUCUUCAUUAGUUUUUUUAUUUUUAUCAUGGUUGACAGAAUAAUGAGUGAAAAAAUUACUUUGCUUAAA